rnacentral:rRNA from 1 species
AGACAGCAGUCGCCGCGGGAAUACGUAGGUGGCAAGCGUUGUCCGGAAUUAUUGGGCGUAAAGGGCACGCAGGCGGUUUCUUAAGUCUGAUGUGAAAGCCCCCGGCUCAACCGGGGAGGGUCAUUGGAAACUGGGAAACUUGAGUGCAGAAGAGGAGAGUGGAAUUCCACGUGUAGCGGUGAAAUGCGUAGAGAUGUGGAGGAACACCAGUGGCGAAGGCGACUCUCUGGUCUGUAACUGACGCUGAGGAGCGAAAGCGUGGGGAGCGAACAGGAUUAGAUACCCCAGUAGUCCCUGUCUCUUAUAA